AUAAAAAAAAAAAAAACAAUAAAAUCAUCUAGAGCAAACUAAAACAAAUCAAUUGGGCCUUGUCUUUGAACUCCUUGAUAAAUUGUUCAGGCCUUUUAAUAUCCUCCACCUUGGACCUUCCUCUUCUUGCCUCCAUAUUUCCCAAACACGAACUGUGUUUUCCUUGGAAGUGCUAAUGAUUCUUCCUUGUGUUUUCUUUUCUUCAAAAUAACCUCUGGUAAUUUGGUAUAUAAGCCAAUGCUUUGUGUCCCCUUCUACCAUUACAAUUCUCUUCACCCAGAGUGAAAAUCUGAAGUUGAUUGAUUCUCAAUGAAAAAUUCAAAACGCACAGAACAUUAUCUGGGGGCUG
rnacentral:misc_RNA from 1 species